CUCUGUUUUCCUCUCUACUCUGUCUCGUCUGACGUCUCAACGCUAAAGCCUCUCCAGCUCUGUCUCGUUUUCCUCUAUCUUGUCUCAUAACAGUAUCACGUUUGCCUCUCUAGCUCAACAAACCCAUACCCACAAUAGAAGAACCAGACAACGGCGCACCGUCAAAUCUCAAUCCAACUCGAUGGUGCCACCCUCUAGCUUCUUCUAUUCCAAUCCAACCUCAAAUCCACAUCCAAUCCAACUCAGCGGCGCUUCUUCCGUCUCUCUGCCCUUUUGUUCGAAGUUUCCAAAAAUCUCAGGUUGCUAGGAACAAAACCAAUCUAUUAUUCCUUUUGGUUCAUAGCAGGAACUUAUUGAAAAACUUCACAAAGGUGAACUGUCAAAAGAUGAUUAUCCAUGUCUGAAUGACCCGAGUCAAACUUUUCAUGACAUCCUUUUGGUUUGCCUAGAUCUCUUAUUGAAUUUUGACCUUUAAACUGCAUUCUCUGAUUUUGUAUGCGAAAGAACCUCUCUCAAAGCUUGUGGUAAAAUUUCUGUAUAAAAUGUUGUGCUUGUAUCUCAUUCUUCUUAUUCUUAUCAUCUUUGUAUGAUAUAUCAAGCUUUCUGCUUGUUAUGCUCAAUCUUCUAUAGUUAUUCUAGAUGUUGCUGUAGUCAUUUCCAUAUUUAAAAUCAAUAUCCCAAAUUUCAAUAUAUCUCCUAUUCAGAAUUUGAUCAGCUGAAAUUUUCUAAAACUUGUACCAGAAUUGUUAGGAUCUAAAAGUUGAUUCUAUCAAGUCUUCCUUGGAAUUGAACGUGCUCAAUUACCUUUAUUUUCCAGUAGACAACAAGUUCAUGCUCUGUAGCAUACUAUUUUGUUUCUUCACAUGUCAAGGAUUUACAAUUAUCAUUGUCUAAAAUCUGAGACUGGACACUGGUAAACUUGCUCUGUCAUGUUGUGUGUACUAUCUUUGGUUAGAGUAUUGCUAGUGUGCAUGUCAUUGAUUUAUUGAAAAAAAAGAAAGUGUGCAUGGCAUUGACAUAUGGAACAAAUGAGAGUACUUUAUUGACUAUAUCACCCGUGUCAUCACCUUGUUAAAAGCAGAUAAAUGAAUUUUCAAGUAGUACUGUCUUGUUAGGCUAAUCUUUAAGAAUCAUAUAUUAUGUGCAUAUGAAGUAAAAUCACAUCUCUUGAACCAUAUGGUAUAAAAAAUAUUACUCCUAUCACAAACUUAGUACACUGGCCUUUGCUUGGUUUAACUGGUGACUGCAAGGAUCAUAUCCUCUUCAUAAUUUUUUCUUUAAAGGUUUGACAGUUUGCUGAAUUUGGUAUUUGAAACAAUUAUACACUAACAGAAAUUCUUACAAUGAUAAGUUCCAGAGAAGGCAGGUAGAAUCCUCUUAUGGAUGAUAAUAGUGACCCAUUUCUCAAGCUCACAAUUAUAUAUAAAGCUCUCGUCCACAGGUCAAUCAGUUGAAAUUCACAAUGUGUCUACAAGACCCAAUUUUCCUCAAAAUUCUACUUCUUUUGCAUGGGGACAUCCUGAUGUGAUUCAGAAGCUCAGUGCAUGGUACCAGCCAAUCAGGAAUGGCUAAAGGCAAUUCCAUGAAGACACAAAAUGCUGAUCUUAAGAAUUGCAGUGACAGAAUGAAUGCUUGAAUCCAACACACUAAGAGUUCUUGGCAGAACAAUGACACGGGGUGACAACCUGUAGUGUCUCCACCCCUAUAGCAAAGGUCAUAUUGGUCUGCUAGAGCUGAUCACACUCAAUC